ACAAAAGAAUCAGCAUUACGUCUGCAUGUGACAAGCAGAAUAAGAGAUGUGUUUGGAGCAGACAGAGCUCUGGGACGUGUGUACAGACAUUCACUGUGAUGAUGGACAUCUCCUCAUGGACAGAAACUCUUCCAUCAUCUUUAUCCUCAUGACCAUCCGAUGCUCCGGAUUCAGACUCAGAGCUUCAUCCUCCUCAUCAGUGACUGAGAAAGAGCCUCACCAAAAGUUUUUUAUGGAAAUUGAAAUCACAUGAUACAGACCAUAUAAAUUAAAUAUUUAUCUAUUGGUUAUAGGAUCUGCUUUUAACAUCUUUGGAAAUAAAAAAAAUACGUCUGAUUUUCUGCAAUAUAAAUGGGUAUUGUAGGCUAAAUGAAUAAUAAGAUUUAUGUUUUUUAAGAAGCACAGCUUAGUUCCAUCUUUCAAACACAUAUCAGAGACAUACUGUUUUUUACCUGCUCAAACUCACUGUAAGAUGCUUUUUGAGAUGGAGAUGAUCUCCUACAUCUGCUUAUUAUAAAUAUUAAUAAAAAGCCACUAUUAGACACCAUUGUAUAUAUUAUAUCAGUCAUUAUCUUACAGAUGAUAUAUGUCAACAGUCAUUUUAAUACAGGCUUUAAAAUAAUUUG